GACAGAGGGUGCAAACGUUUGUUCGGAAUUACUGGGCGUAAAGCGUGUGUAGGCGGCCGCGCAAGUCGGAUGUGAAAGCCCCGGGCUCAACCCGGGAAGUGCACCCGAUACUGCAUGGCUCGAGUACUGGAGAGGUUGGUGGAAUUCUCGGUGUAGAGGUGAAAUUCGUAGAUAUCGAGAGGAACACCAGUGGCGAAGGCGGCUCACUGGCCCGGUACUGACGCUGAGGUGCGAAAGCGUGGGGGAGCAAACAGG
rnacentral:rRNA from 1 species